CCAUCCAUUCGCAGUUUGACGCCCUUGCGAGUAGGACGUGUGGUGUUGUGUUCGGUGUCUCUCCAGUGUCGUACGUGGUGGUGGUACGCCCCGGAUUUUCUGGUGGUUACCAGUUCCCAUCGUGUUUGUGGCAAACCAGUUCGUGCGUUCCGGAGUUCCCACUUCCAGUUGCUGCUGGCUGGAGAGUCAUCCAAAGAAAGGAACUUGGAGUCAUUUACUUUCAAUUCCAAGCUUUGAUUCGUUUAUUUUACUGCGACAGUUUAAAAAGUGGCUGUGGUAUUUCAAAAAACAGGAAGCAGCUGGAAGUUGGCCGGAACGGUGAGAGUGUACAUGAUAGAAUUUUGCUGGUUCUGACAGAUGAAAAAGUGGAUUCGUUAGGUCAAAGUGAAGUACCUUAGGAGAAAGCAGAGGCCAAACUCCUGCUUCAGACCAAGCAAAUAGAUUUACUUGUUAAAAGUGAUUGUCCAUAAUUAGGAUAACGUUAGACAGUCUUGCCUCGUUAGAUGGGAAGCUUGUAUUGAAUGGGUAACUGGGUUUUGGAAGUGCAGGAAAGUAAACCCGGUUCCUGAAAGGCAGUGUAGCUGCUUGUCGCGAAACUGCUGGCAGAAUCGUCGAGGAGCAAGCCGGAAGUGUAUAAAGUGUUUGCUAUCCAGCCUGAAGAAAGCUAGCGCUAGGCCCUUGGGUCUGUGAUUCGGCCUUCCUUGUUUGCAAGGGUUACUCGAAGCGCAGAAAAAAGAAGAAACAAAAAAUAAAGUCGUGUUAUCUUUACGCUAACGCUGGAGUAGUGUUUCCCGGCAGAACGAUCCCAAGCCGCCAAGAUGACGAAGGAUAGAUUAGCAGCCCUGCAGGCGGCACAAAGCGACGAUGAGGACAUGCCGGAUGAUGUGGCCGUGCCAGUGGAGGGACUGGGCGGCUUUAUGGAGGAUUUUUUCAACGAGGUGGAGGAAAUCCGGGAGAUGAUUGACAAAAUUCAGGCGAACGUGGAGGAGGUGAAGAAAAAGCACAGUGCCAUCCUGUCGGCCCCGCAGUCAGAUGAGAAAACCAAACAAGAACUCGAAGACCUAAUGGCCGAUAUUAAAAAAACUGCCAACAGAGUAAGAGGGAAACUUAAGGGUAUCGAACAAAACAUUGAGCAGGAGGAGCAGACGAACAAGUCCAAUGCCGAUCUUAGGAUACGGAAGACACAGCACUCGGCGCUGUCCCGCAAAUUCGUCGAGGUGAUGACCGAAUAUAAUCGGACCCAGACUGACUACCGAGAGCGGUGCAAAGGAAGAAUACAACGACAAUUGGAAAUUACGGGUAGAGCGACUACAAACGAAGAGCUGGAGGAGAUGUUGGAGCAGGGCAAUUCCGCUGUAUUCACGCAAGGGAUCAUAAUGGAAACCCAACAAGCUAAACAAACGCUUGCCGAUAUCGAGGCACGGCAUGCAGAUAUUAUAAAAUUGGAGAAUUCAAUUAGGGAACUACACGAUAUGUUCAUGGAUAUGGCAAUGCUCGUCGAAAGCCAGGGAGAGCUGGUGGACCGGGUUGAGUACCACGUUGAGCAAAGUAGGGACUAUGUGGCGCAAGGUCAUCAGGAACUGGUUAUUGCGAAACGGUAUAUGUCCAAAGCAAGAAAGAAGAAAAUCAUUAUCCUGAUAUGUGUCAGCAUCCUUUUAAUAGUGGUUGCAUCAACAAUUGCCGGAUAUUUCGGUUUUUAAUCAUCGAUCGAUUGUCAGCGAAUCUAAACACUAACAAUAUUCAGGAAUACGCGCUAAGCAAAGAAAAAUAUAAAUCUCCACAUUCUCAUCAACUAGCCAAACAGGAUACCCCGCAAAUACAACCGUGCAAUAUAGCGAUCGAUUUGCAAGGAAUCGUUUUGUUUCGUUUAUCAUAAGCUCCUCAUCAUGAUCACCAUUCUCACCCAUUUCCAUCACCAUCAUCAUCAUCAUCUUCGUCAACGUCGUUCCCUAGCAUCUUAUCAUCUAUCACGUGUUUCGUUCGACUCAACGCUUCACAACUCACGCGUAAUCGCGACAUCACAUAAUGCCCAAGGCAAGCCAAGCAACCGAGAUAGAUUGAAAAAGUACCUAAGCAAAACCUACUUAGAUGGAAAUGUGAAAAUUAAGUCUUCGCGCCUAUCUUCUCAGCAUGCACCUAAGCUAGUUUUUUUUCGGGUGUACGAGAAGGCGACAACAGGCAAUCAUACACAACAAUUCAGGAGUGCUCGCGAUGUUUUUGUAACCGCAUUAUCCUUCCCCUAGAAGAGUUAGCUACACAUAUUACCGGGGAUGACGACGGCGACGACGACGGCACCAGCGGAGGAUGAUGAGCGUCGUCGUUUUUCACCUGUACGCACGUGAUGCACUAAUGGGAGGUGCAGUUUUUGUCUGGCUGACGAGGAUGUCAUUCUUCGUAUUUUUCCAACUGUUAUUUACAAUCACCAACCUACUUAUAUGAACAUCGAUCGAGCGAACCGACAGUUGAAGGACACAGCCAACCACAGUAAGAAAUGGCCUGUACGCGGGGGAAACCGCAGCGAUCCGUGCAUUUCUCUUUUAGGAUCUUGUAGAUCACUAGUUGCAUAUCGACCAUCAGUCAGUGUGGGCAAAAUGAACGCAGCAGUAGAAAGUGUAGAUUCCCGGUUAAUUACGCUUGUUGAUUAUUUAUUAAGUUUGUCCUAGAUUAGAUAGUUUGAACGCAUUCAAUGGUUCAACGAUGUGCUAAUAGGUUCGAUCCUUUUGUUCGUUGAUUCUAGUCAAAUUACUAGUGAUUACGUAUUGAUAUGGCACUCAUACAUAGAAAGACAUACAUAUACAAGCCUAGGUUCACUUUGUGUAAAUAUACUCUCAGCCAACAAUCCCACUAUUUAAGAGUAAAACAAAUAGCUUUUGUUAACAUUGACAAAAACCUUUCGGGCAAAGCCGGAAACGGGCAUGUUAAAGUGCAGUGUGCAACCAAACGAAUGCCGCUAAGAAACUAAUGUUUAUAUAGGAAAGCUGUAGCUAUAUGAAUUCCAAAAGCGCUCUAUUUAACCAAUGCAUAAACAAAAGCGUGCCAGUUUUUUGCUUGCAAAGUCGAACUCACUCUAGGCUACAAGUUUGGUUAGAAAAUCCUAGCAAUAAACUACAAGGAAAGGGUUGUUUAUAUUUUCUGUUUCACCAGUAAUCAGUCAGAGAAGAUAAAUCAAAUAGGACUUGUAACUUGGAGGUUUAAACUAAACACACACUCACACAAAGACGUGCGUGCGCACGCGUUACGCACAAGCGAUGCGAAAAAAGAUCCUUUCUAUCUUUCUACACCUGGAACAGUGUAUAACGACAGUAACAGCAGUGAAAACAGCAGCAGCAGUGGACAAAUAGUGACACUAAGAGAAAAAAAUAAAAAUGUUCAAGAAAAUGUGUGAUAAUAUUUAAAAAAUCUCUAACAUUACUUCGAGGGAAAAUGAAAAUAUACAAAAGCCUAUAGAUAUAUUACUACUAUUAUUCGUAAAAAAAUCUUAACAGAGUGUCGUAUUUAUAUCUCCUACAUACGAAAAAAAAUAGGGAAGAAUAGAAACGAGCGACAAAUCGAGUGACAGUCACUAAAAUCGAUUAAAAGGAAAAAAUCUUUUUGCGCAACAGAGAUGACACUCUUGGUCGCUUUUGAUAGGAUAGAUAAUAACACAAAAAACAUCGGAACAAUAAUCGUGCUUACGUGGGAUAGACGGGAACGAGUUGUGUUUGUCGGUUGUUGACAUUGGCAGUGCUCGACAAACGACGAGAACCUGAAAUACAUCACAGGUCAAGUGUCUUGCAUUCACCCAGCUUCACGGAGGUGGUAAUGGUUCAGGUUUUCGGUAAAUGUAACAGCAGUAAUUCUAUAAACACGAAAAUUUAUUAUUUAUUUGCUAACGUUCAGGGUUGGUUUGCCGCUGAAGUUUAUUGUGCAGGAUUGCAGUAUAACAACAUUUUCUGGAAGCUAUUUUUAUGCUUUAAAAAACUGGCGUCAGCCUAUCGGCUGUUGGCUUAAUCAAAGCUUUGCUUUUCCGCUCACCGCAAUGCUUUUGAAAGAGAAAAAAAUAUAAAUUUCGAUUUUAGUCCAAUCUUUAUUAGAAACUUCAAUUGUUGAUCUACUGUUUUAGCGGUAGUUUAUUUCGUUAAAUAUCCACCUCUGCAAAUUUGUUGGGUACGUCUUGAUUUCUCCGGAAAAUAUACUAUCAGACCUUAACUUCAGUGAACGCGUUUGAUUUUUUUUUCUUCAAGAGAAAUUUAUCUAACGGCACUUGCUGGAAGAUAAAAACGCACACAUUCCGGAGCUUACGUACAUUUGCGUCAUUCAUUCACUGAGACACUGACAUGAAUUAUACAUACAAAAAAAAAACAUCAAUUCGACGAGAAGUUACACAGAAAGAAGAAUCGUUCUAUACUGCCGAGACAUUAAACUUACGAAAGUGAGAUAUAAGAAUUUUACAAUUCAGGAUAAGAUUCUUCAUUAGUAGGAAACCAAUGAAAACAAAGUAUAAAGUAAACGACAACUCAAAAGUUGAAGUCAUGUUUAAUUUUUCUGCUAGCUUAUGUACCAUAAGCGUUACAUCUAUUUUUAAUUAUCGCAUUCCUCUUGUUAGUAAUUGUAAGAGCAAACCCAAGCAACGGUAAACUGUUGAGUCAAUUGUUUUUAGAAUGAUUAAUUUUUCUACUAGCGGGAAGUAAAACAUAGUGGGGGACCUAUUCUGUUUGUAUUGGUUCCGAACAGUUUCGUUGAAUGCGUGGAUAUUAGCGAAAAAUCAACACAGAAACGAGCAACCGACAGGUGUAAUUUGAAAUAAGUAAAUUAACUGGUGAAUAAACAAUUAGUUAAUAUGGUACGAUAUUUAAACGACACCAAAAUGACAAACCAGUAUAGUGUAAUCAAAACUUUUUAAUAUAUCUUCAACCUAAGUAUCAUAUCUUUUGCAUUAUUCAUUCAUUGAUUGAGCUAGAAGUGGAAAAAUGUUAUCAUCUUGAAAAUAGAACAAGUGAAAUCUAUAAUUGUAGCGUUCUUCAGCGAAAACACAAAAGCAGCUAGCUUUUUGGUUUAAAAUUUGAAACCUCUUUUGUUCACUUCAACAUGAGAAAA